rnacentral:rRNA from 1 species
CUACGGGGGGCAGCAGUGGGGAAUAUUGCACAAUGGGCGAAAGCCUGAUGCAGCAACGCCGCGUGGAGGAUGACACAUUUCGGUGCGUAAACUCCUUUUAUAUAAGAAGAUAAUGACGGUAUUAUAUGAAUAAGCACCGGCUAACUCCGUGCCAGCAGCCGCGGUAAUACGGGGGGUGCAAGCGUUACUCGGAAUCACUGGGCGUAAAGAGCAUGUAGGCUGGAUGACAAGUUGGAAGUGAAAUCCUAUGGCUUAACCAUAGAACUGCUUCCAAAACUGUCUUCCUAGAGUAUGGGAGAGGUAGAUGGAAUUUCUGGUGUAGGGGUAAAAUCAGUAGAGAUCAGAAGGAAUACCGAUUGCGAAGGCGAUCUACUGGAACAUUACUGACGCUCAGAUGCGAAAGCGUGGGGAGCAAACAGGAUUAGAUACCCCUGUAGUC